GGGGACGUGAUGGAAUAGGUAGACAUGAGGGACUUAAAAUCCCUUGCUCUAUGCGUGUGGGUUCGAAGCCCACCGUCCCUACCA
rnacentral:tRNA from 1 species